rnacentral:rRNA from 1 species
GACAGAGGCCUCGAGCGUUAGGCGGAAUCACUGGGCUUAAAGCGUGUGUAGGCGGGCCCGUAAGUGUCUUGUGAAAUCCCACGGCUCAACCGUGGAACUGCUGGGCAUACUGCGGGUCUUGGGCCAACCAGGGGCAGCCGGAACAAGCGGUGGAGCGGUGAAAUGCGUAGAUAUCGGGAGGAACACCAGUGGCGAAGGCGGCUACCUGGACCAGCACUGACACUGAGGCACGAAAGCGUGGGGAGCAAACAGG